AAAAGCCAUACUGUCAUGAUAAUUGUGGUAUUUCUCCUCCAUACUUGGGAGCUGAAAGGCUAAAAUGCCAAGAAACACAAUAGCUCAGUCUCAGAAACCAAGACACCAGAGUUCUCUUGGAUGAUCUCCAGUUGUCCAAUGAUUUCUGCAAACGUAGGCCUCCGGUCUGGAUUCUUAUGCCAGCAAUCUCGGAGAAGCCUGCCAUCAGCAUCACAAGUUCCCAUCAUGGUACACGAUCGAAGGAAGGUGUGGUCGUAAGUCUUCAUAUGCUCGUUUGUCUGCCAAUUUCUCCGGAUCUUCUCCCCUGUUUGAUGGUCCUCCUUGGAACAUCUACAUGCAAUGUAAACAUGCCAGCAACAUUUUGAAAAGUUAUUGCAGUGCAUAACCUUUAGAGAUCUCCAGAUGUUAGCAGUAUAAUAAGUCAAAUUUUUAUCAACUGUCUGUGGCAAUAAUUAUG